UAAAAUUAAAUGACAUUUCAACCUUUAGGGGAAAUGCCAUCUAAUCCCUUUGGGACUACUGCUCCUGUUAGCUCAUCAUUCCAGGCAUUGAUUGGGAUUGCAUUAGGGUUAGGACAUUGAAGUGUAAUGACAAGGGUAAAAGGAGGAAGAGUUCUGCCUCACUGCCAAAAUCAGAAUGUUCCCUCUCUGAAAAUAUCUUUUCAUAAAUUCAGGUCCAAUAAGCUAUAUUAUCUAUACCCCACACUGUAAUCCACUCCUGUCUCCCAAGGGUUCCCCAUUACAUAUUGAAUAUUUGAGUGGGGGCUGCUUUAAAGCCUUUCAUUAUCAAAUAGUGUUAGGGGAGCAGUGUGUAAUGAGGAAAUUGGCAUGCAUCCCAGAGUGAUCUGAGGGGCUGGGAUUCAGAACGCUAAGCCACCAUUCAAAAUGUAAGUAAUUAAAAUUAAUUAAAAAUCAUUAAACAAACCUUCACUUUUGCAAUUUCAAGGUACAGCCCAAGUCACCAGAGCUCAUAAAAGAUGUGUGUGCUGUCGCAUCUAUGUGAAGUAUUUCCAUGACCCGAGCAUUGACUGAGGGACUGUGCUGGAGGAAGCUGGAUCAAGGUACCAAGGUACCAGUCUCCGUGUUGAGCUCUUUAUGUGGAUCUUACAAUUUAAUCAUCAAAACGCCCAUAAAGAAGAUGGUAUUUUAUCCCGAUCUUCUGGAUGAGAAUAUUGCACCAUAUUUUUUCUUCUCUCCCCCUAACUUCCCAAUUGCAUUCAAAUAUUUUUCCUUGGAUACAGGCAUCACAAACUGGGGAGAAACACAGCUUUCUGAAGAAGUAAAAAUGCAAACACAGAUACAAUUCUUCAUUUUCCCCAAAACACCGUGCAAAGUUGCUACCUUUUGUCUGCAGUGAUUCUACCUCUUGUUAUGUUAGUUCACUGCAUCCUCAGGCAGGAGAGGCUGAGAUUAUUUAGAUUCUCACAGUACAGCAAAUAAUGAGGAAGACAGGCCAGGAUGCCAUGGGUGCCACAUUAGUGUCUUCUUUUAGGUUCUGAUAUACAAGCAGCCCAGCCCUAAUUGGUCUGUGCUUAAAAGAAGAUUAUUUGUUAAGGUGCUGAUAUACAAACUCUGUCCCACCUGUGUUGGCUAUAUAUGCUUAAAAGAGGAUCCUGACAAGUCUACCUAAAGAAGAUGAAAGAGGUACUCGGGGCAGGGGACAAUGGACUGGCUAAUGUGCAGAAAUAAACUUUACAGCUCUAGGCCAGGGCCACCAUAAACCUCUUCCACACUGUGCAGCACACAUUAUUAUGGAAACAACACGCCUUGGCUGGUGGCUUUGCUCGGUGUUCCUCAAGGGAGCUCUGGGUUGCAAACCUGCCUACUCCCUGGCUAUCUCAUCUUUUCCGUGAGGACCAUGAUUCCUGAUAUUUGCAGUGACUGUAAACUUUGAGACAUGGGGGCAGGAUCUGCAGGUUCCCAGGGGCCUUGGAGGACUCUAGUGGCCCAUGCAGCUCUAUGGGUUUGGAACUUGAGCUCAUUGAGGAUGUUACCUACAGAUAAAACAAGUGAGGCAUUUUGAACACAUUGCAAACAAAUUUUUUUUUUUUUGAGACCAAAUCUCACUCUGUUCUCAGGCUGGAGUGUGGUGGCACCAUCUUGGCUCACUGCAGCCUCCCCCUCCCGGGUUCAAGUGAUUCUCCUGCCUUAACCUCCCAAGUAGCUGGGACUACAGGAAUGUGCCACCACGCCUGGCUAUUAUUUGUAUUUUUAGUCAAGAUGGGGUUUUACCAUGUUGGCCAGGAUGAUCUCAAUCUCUUACCUCAUGAUCCACCCGCCUCAGCCUCCCAAAGUGCUGGGAUUACAGAUGUGAGCCACCACACCUGGCCGCAAACAACUUUUAAAGGUCAUCUCACCCAUGCCUCUCUCUCUUCUUUGGACCAGUUCAAACUUAUUUCAGAAUAAAAAUGUUUUCUGUUUUCAAAAAUUGCCAAAUAUAAAUUACAUGAGUGAGUUUGUUUAAAUAACUUAGAUGACCAAAACCAAAAACAUUCUGAAGUCUAAUCACUUGUGCUUCAGGAACACAGGAUCUUUCCUCUUGUUCUGCCUUUUGGAAUGGUGAAGGGUAUUCCACUCACAUCUUGAAUCAUUUAGAGGGACUUAGGAUUCAAUUUAAUACAAUAAAUAUUUACUGAGCUUCUAUGUAUCUGAUACUGAAAUGGGACCGAGAGGGUCAUAAAGUUGAUGAUCUGGGCUUCUUUCUCAUUUCAAGAAGCAUAAUUCCCACAUCAUUCCUAAUGCAGAGCAUGGCAAAUGCCACAUAUUAAGGCCAGAAGGAGAGGUUUUGGAGUCACUGAUUUU
ensembl:lncRNA